GAAAAGUAAACUUUGUAAACAAGUUCAGGAUGACAGAUUCUGAUGGGAGAAAUCAGACUGUUCUUGAUAGGUCUGGCAGGAGAGCCAGAUAAGAAGGCAAAGCAAAUAUUUACUUAGGAAUAGAUAAAGAAAAGAGAGAACCCAGUAAGCAUUAGGGAAAUGCCUGCAUCAAUCAGAUUCAUGUCAGAGUUUUGGGGUGGUAUUUUCUAUCAGGUUCCCUGCUAGAUGUUAGUGAUAAAAUCAUGACCUUGUCCUGCUCUCCAAUUGUUCAAGUGAAGACAAUUAACCGUAGUACAAGCCAGCUUGUGGUGAUACUCAGUUUUGGCCUUGGGAAUGAAUUCCCUCUGUUGACUCCAUAAGAUGUGAGGAAUGUGUGAAAAGACUUGAGUUCUGGUGUGUUCUGAAGCGUGAAGACCUAACAGGUAACCUUCAGCUCUACUUGGCUUUCUCAUUCUUCCUGAUGUUCCUGGGAAUUUUAGAAAUUCCUCUGGUGGUUUCAGUAACAUUCUAAUAAAAACUUAUGAGACCAGUCAUUUAACAGAGGACCAUUAUGGCUAAUUAUAAAGUAAAAUAUUGACUAGCAUAAUGUAUUAUAGAUUAAAUCUUUAUAUUACAUUUUUAUUAUAAAAUACUACUGGUUGAGUAUCUAUAAUGUGUCAGCUAAUGGGAUAAACAUUUUAAAUGUAAAAGAUUAAUACAAAGAUGUAAAUGGAAGAGCUUGUGGG
rnacentral:lncRNA from 1 species